UCUCCUCACGAUAGAACAGUAACUGAGACAGAGAGUUAUACCAUUGUUCCUACCCCAGCACCAGGGAAGAAUGAAGGUGGAUUCUUAUCUCACACCAGAAUACAAAAACUCAAAAUGGAUCAGAAAUCCAAAUAAAAGAGCUAGAAAUCAUUAGAAGAAAACAGAACAGUAAAGCUUCAUGAUCUUGGACUUGGUGAUGGAUUCUUAAACAUGACAUCGAAGCACGUGCCAAAAGAAAAAAAAAAUCACAUUGGAGUUCAUCAAAAUAGAAACUUUUGUGCAUACAAGGGUACAAUCAAGAAAGUGAAAAGAUAACCCACAGGAUGGGACUGAAUGUUUUUAAGUGGACAAAGGAUCUGAAAGUGAUCCCUCAGCCUUAUGAGGAUGAUGGUGUGUGACGUAGACUUCCCAUUUAGGGAUGAGCAUCCUGAAGUCUCUUAUUGUUUUCACCUUCACCAAUUGUACGUCUGUCUGUGUUCAUCACCAUCAUCUACUGCAAGAAGCAGCUUCUCUGAUGAAGGUUGAAAAUUUUACUAAUCUAAAGGAACACCUUUUCAAGACCUCUGACCUAAAUCUCACUGAAUCAAAAAUCAUGCAUGUGGUCACCUCUGACUGCAAAGGCGUCU